AGGGUUUGAUUAUGGCUCAGGAUGAACGCUGGCGGCGUGCUUAACACAUGCAAGUCGAGCGAAGUUGUGUUAACGGAGGGCUUCGGCCUAAAGAUGAUACAACUUAGCGGCGGACGGGUGAGUAACGUGUGGGUAACCUGCCAUAUACAGGGGAAUAAUCACUGGAAACGGUGACUAAUACCGCAUGUCACCGCGGGAGGGCAUCCUCCUGCGGGAAAAGGAGCAAUCCGGUAUAUGAUGGACCCGCAUCUGAUUAGCUAGUUGGUGAGAUAACAGCCCACCAAGGCGACGAUCAGUAGCCGACCUGAGAGGGUGAUCGGCCACAUUGGGACUGAGACACGGCCCAA
rnacentral:rRNA from 1 species